GGAAAGGUAGCUUAGGAGCAAAGUAUCUGCUUUGCAGGCAGAAGAUCCCGGGUUCAAGUCUUGGCUUGUCUA